AUGAAACACUGGCUGAGAAACAUCCUGAUUCUGACUCUCUGGCUAGAGUGUAAAGGACAAGACAGAGUGAUCCAGCCACCAGGAGAUGUCAUUGCUACUGAAGGACAGACAGUCACACUUGAUUGUACAUUUCAGACCAGUGGAAGUCCCACUUUGUUCUGGUACAAACAAGAAGUAAAUGAUUUCCCAAAGUUGUUAUUGCAACGUUUCAAGUCUGGAAUAGAAGCUAAUCCUGCAGAGGAAGAGAGGAUUGAUGCUACAGUCAACGGGACGUCAGUUCCUCUGAAGAUCCAGAAGCUGCAGCUGUCUGACUCUGCUGUGUACUACUGUAUUCAUUGUGCUGAGUUUUCUGCAGAUUCCUCCUUCAGUCUGAGCUUCUUGGAUGAUGAUGACUGCAGCAUCACUGUCAUUUCUAAAGCUUCCAUCAGCCUGAAUGGAAACAGACCACAGCAAGAGGAGGAGCUACACAACUGA